GACGAACGCUGGCGGCGUGCUUAACACAUGCAAGUCGAACGGAAAGGCCCUGCUUUUGUGGGGUGCUCGAGUGGCGAACGGGUGAGUAACACGUGAGUAACCUGCCCUUGACUUUGGGGUAACUUCAGGAAACUGGGGCUAUUACCGGAUAGAAGCUCCUGCUGCAUGUUGGGGGUUGGAAAGUUUCGGCGGUUGGGGAUGGACUCGAGGCUUAUGAGCUUGUUGGUGGGGUAGUGGCUUACCAAGUCUUCGACGGGUAGCCGGCCUGGGAGGGUGAACGGGCACAUUGGGACUGAGAUAGGGCGCAGACUCCUACGGGAGGCAGCAGUGGGGAAUAUUGCACAAUGGGCGGAAGCCUGAUGCAGCAACGCCGCGUGCGGGAUGACGGCCUUCGGGUUGUAAACCGCUUUCGCCUGUGACGAAGCGUGAGUGACGGUAAUGGGUAAAGAAGCAACGGCUAACUACGUG
rnacentral:rRNA from 1 species